rnacentral:other from 1 species
GCAACCCUGCGGUGUCUGUGAUUGCCCACGACAGUUUUGAGCCAACACCUGAACUUUGGGAGCCGAAGUCUGACGUCGAGUGGCAGCCCGGCGCGAGCCGGGAAUCGCGAGACGCUUCAGUAGGGCGCCCACCUGCGUAAGCGGGUUCAAACACCGAGGGGGCACACGGCACAGGCGGGGUUGUC